GACCGCGGGCAAAGUUGCUUCUUAGAGCCGGAUUUCGGGUGUGUGGAAGCCAUUCUGACACUUAUGUGGUAAAACUUAAACUUAAAAACGAAAAUUAUGUUUUGCUUGAUGUCAAAAAAGCUGUUAACGUAACGUUAUUUUUAGUUACCAUCUGGCAUUAACUGGUAGGCAAAUGAAUAUGUCGGAGCCGUCACGUUUAUCAUUUUAUGCAUAUCGUCACACAUUGAAAGAGUUAGUUAAGACUCGUGGAGGUUCUCGAUUGUAGUGUCCUUGUUGUAAUGGGCUUAUUUACUUUUAUUUGUCAUGAUGCGGUUUAUUUCUUGCCGAGCGAAUCCGUUAACUAGUUGUGAUAGUUCUAACGUUAGCUAGUGUUUUUAGAGCAAUUUAAUGCCUUCAAGCAAAAGCAACCAGAGGAAUCGUCAAGAAAAGUAAACGCCAUUAAGACUUGCUUGAUUUGAAAGGCAUGAAGACACAACGUGAAGAGACUGUUUGUGAAUAUGCAGUAACUUGACCGGUACAGCUGGAUCAAGGAAAACACCAGCACCUUUUCUGCAAAAUGAGGACUUUUCUGCUGUAGUUUACAUCCCAAGCACCACCUGCAUGCUUCUUAUGGGUGGUGGACAUUCAGGGUUGCUGUCAUUCAAGAAGUUAUU